CUUGUUUACCCUAUAGGUUAAAUAAAGACACUUAUCGUAUAGGUCGCGAACUAAGCGCACGGUCUAAACCAGGCCAUUAUUAUAA